UACAGAGGGUGCAAGCGUUAAUCGGAAUUACUGGGCGUAAAGCGUGCGUAGACGGUCAUGUAAGUCGGGUGUGAAAGCCCCGGGCUCAACCUGGGAAUUGCAUUCGAGACUGCAUGGCUAGGGUGCGGAAGAGGGAAGCGGAAUUUCCGGUGUAGCGGUGAAAUGCGCAGAUAUCGGAAGGAACACCAGUGGCGAAAGCGGCUUCCUGGUCCAGCACCGACGUUCAGGCACGAAAGCGUGGGGAGCAACAGG
rnacentral:rRNA from 1 species